GGCCGCGCUGGCCUGUGGGUGUAGGGUACAGGGGCGGCUGAGGUGCCCGUCCUCCCCGGGAGGCAAAACGGUGCUUUGACCUUUUUGGGCAUCUGGAAACAUCUGAGAUGAAAAAUGGUGCCAGCUCCGGCUGCGGGGUUCACCCAGGGCUGUAGGUAACUCUGGUUCUGUUGCAGAGAUGAUUUUGUGGGGCUGUUUCUGGACUUUCUCAGCUGAAAUGAGAAAGAGGCAGCUGCCGAGCGCCUGGGGAAAAGCCCGGGAGCAGCCUGGCCUCACUCCCCCGCUGCUGGUGCCUGGGGCACAAGCGGUCGGGGUUAAAGCAAGCCUCUCCCCGCAGUGGCUGUGUCUCACCCGCUUUACCUCUAUUUCCUAUCUCGCUGGAUUAAAGCACACGUGCUGAGGACUGUGCGUCUUGCAGUUACACCUCCCGCGGCAGCGGCAGCCACCUGAGCGUGUGCGUGUCAUUCUCCAAUUAACAGCCCGGGGGGAAAAACAAAGCAGAAGCCGCGAUGCAGACCCUCUUCCUGGCUGCUCCCCUCGUCCUUUCCAGAGCGCAGGGAGGGGAGACGUGUGACUGCUGUGUCGCAGGUGACCGGGGCAGCUCAAAAGUUAUCAAAGCUUGAUCACGUUUGGUAGGUGGAGAAAAAUCCCCGAGACGCUAACUUUCUGCAGACUCUGCAAAAUGAGGCUGCUGAUGAGGGGAGAAAGCCCCUCUUACCUACCCUGCGUUGGCGAAGUCUACUGAGCUCCCCCUUUUAUUAGACACCGGAGAAGCCACAAUGCUCCUGGGAACCAAAGCGAUCGGGGCGAGGGGGCCGCUCUGACUCCUGGGCUCUGCUAGGCACCUUUUCACUCGGCAGCUCUGCCUAACUGGCCAGUUAAUGGAUACAAAGCCCUGGAGGGAGCUGAGACUAACUUGAGAAACCCAGGAAAACACUGAUCUCAGCAGAAUGCUGUGUGCAGAGGAGACUCGCCGAAGGUCCAUCUUAUUUGAAGUGAUAAACUAGGAAGCCAGAGCUGAAAAGAUCAUUGCACAAGGUCGUCGAGACGGGGACGGGCAGGUUUGGCUGCCAGUUCUCGGCAGGAGACGGAGCGCGGCUCGGUGGUUUCGUGCUCGCCGUGAGCCGGCAGGAUUAGCUGCUGUUCUUGGCCCUGUUCUUGGUGUCGGGUGGUCUCAGGCGAAAUCCUUCUCCCCCUUCUCAUCUGCUUAGUCCGUGUCCUAAAGCACUUGUGGUCUCUCUUGCUGUGCCUGUAGUGUGUUUAACGAACGGAGCGCGGACUAAAGACAGUGCUCUGUAGGGAAACCCUGGGCCAGCCUGGAGGAGCUGGAGCUGUGUCUGGUUUCCGCGGUUCUUGCUCUGCACUACACAAUAAAACCAUGAGUUGUAACGCCAAAAUGGGAGACACUGGAGGAGAAAACGGGUUCCCAGCAGGAUGGAUAAGGUCCUUCUUGUCUAGGCAGAGCGUGACUCAAGGUCAGCCCUCAGCCUGGACAGCGCAGUAGGCAGGGAGCUCUGAAGACGCCGGUUUAAUUGCUCAGUCACCAGGUGAUUUUGUUGGGUGAAGUCCUUCUAAUGUAACGAGUCUUUCACACUUGAUCCCCGGGUUUGGUAACAGGUCUGUGCACUGAGCAGAGGGACAACACAGGAGGGUCGAAGGGUUUAUUGAGACAAGACUCCCGAGCUGAGCGUGGGCUGUCAGCAUCUACCGAUGGAUAGUUAUUUAGUUUACUUUUAUUUUCAGAUCUUGAACCUCUUAAGGAAGAGGGACAGCUGAGGGCCUGGUUAUCUGCCGUCCCUUCGCGGUGUUCCCGUUCCCGGAGCAAUGCAGCAGCUUGCACCGUUCCCCGCAGCUCCGGCCCCGAGGUCCGGGCGCUCGCAGCUGUACAGCUCCCUUUGCCCACGAGAGGCUGCUGGUGCCGUGCAAAAGCGUCCCCGAUGCUGGCUUCUCCCUUUAUUUAUUUAUUUUUUAAAAAUUCUCACUUUAAACAACAAAACAACAAUAAAAUGGAAAGGAGCAAGAAGCCGCUUUCUCCGGGGCCGGACCGAGGGCUUCGCCGACGCGUGGCCCUGGCCUUGGGGAAGGGAGGCUGAGGCAGGACACCUCGCGGGAGCCUUCCUCCCCUCUGCCGCGGGUUACAGCCGAGGGGACCAGAUCCAUGUGUUCCUGGGGAAUAGGGCGAACGUGUCCCCGUGCGAAGAGCGGCGGGACUGGCUGGCUGGCGGGUGAACGGCGGCAGGGCGUGGGGAGCAAUUCCCCGCUGACACCCACAUCCCACGUGCUGCUGCAGGCUGCACCUCUCCGUUCCGCUCAGUGGCUUUUCGAGGGUUUUUUGGGAUCCAGGAUCUAUGUUCCCAUGGGCCCAUUCUGCUUUGGGGAGGGAAGGAAACCCCUGUGAAACCCUCAGCAGUGUGAGCAGCUCUGCUCCAGCCUGGGGAGGGGGUAAGACCUUGUACCCCCCCUCGGAGGGGGCAGACGUGAGGCAGCGGGAUGGGCUGUUGAGUAUCUGCUAACGGGGGCAGGAGGGGAGGGGAACUCUGGCCAGCCCCCGCUUCUAGUCCUGGCCUCCUUCCUGAGUGGAUUUUGGUCCGAAUCCUCAUGCAUACUAAAAUGUGUUUACAGUGUUGGUUAUUUCACAUCAACAAACCUCCUUCCACGCCGGGGGGCCUGCUGGGAGCCACCUGAGGACGGCACCGCUAAGAGAUGGAGCUCAUGCAUUUUGCAUGUGAAUAGUUUGGGCUGGAUGAUUAUAAAACAGCAGCACCCUGCGCUGGGCUUUGCUGUGCUUUUCGUGUGCCUAUCAGCGGAGAGCAGCCCUUGGAUCUUGGCCUCCACGUUAGCUGAGGAGCGACAGCACAGAAAGGGGGACAUCAAUCCAAAAACCAGAGUGGGGGAAAAAUGCUCCACUUCUUUGCUCCUACAGCCUGCUCUGGACAUCAGCCUUCGCACUGUCCGAGCGCUGGGUCAAGACCCGCUGGUCCUGAAGCCUGUGUCCUGCCGUCGUCAGCAGAUGUGUCACCUCUGCGUGCUGGGCAAGGGGCUCUUUCCGUCUUGUUCUACUUCAUUUCAUCCGUGAAACUUGGUGCGGUCGGUCCAUGAAACCCCUGUGGAUGUUUACUUGAGACACUGCACUGGAGCAAACUGCUUCCCGGAACCUGCCGCUGGUCCCGGGACCCCCAUUCCCGCGUGCGCUGCUCGGCGCCGGCAGAAGUGUCCCCGGCUUGUGCUCGUUCCCUGGCAGCUCGGGGACUCUGAGACCCUGAGCAGGGGAAAGAAAAACCUCCUGGUGUCCCAGGAGAUCCCACCGUGCAAUAGGUAAUCUCAUUACUUCAACAAGAACAAGCUGGGGAAUUGAUUCAUAACUAGACUUGCAUUUUGGAAACAACAAGUGUCAUUUUCUUUUUUUAAUACUGAUGCGUGUUAAAGUAAUCUGAUUAUUAGUAAAAACCCCUCUAUAACCCAUCUCUGACCAGGACGAAGGGUCUCUGACCCUGGGGGCAGGUUUUGCUCUCUGACGUCCUUGGCUGAGUUUGCAGGGCCAGUUUCCACCAAAGGGCAUCUCUGCCCGUUCCCCUGCGUCGUAUUCGGCUCCCAGAAAGGACGGUCUCGCGCUUCGGGCACGCCGGAUGGUCCCUUCUGGAUUCGGCUACGGAUGUCUCGUGUGACCUUGACGUCGUUUGCCUCCCCGUGCCUCCCUUUUCCAGGCCCAGCCUGUGUGCGGUGUCCGUGCCGUGGGCUGGCUGGGACGGGGGCUGCGCCUCGCUGGACCUUGGGGGCUGCUCCUCGUCCUUCCCCGGGGACACGCUCCGAGCUCGCCGCCUCUGCCGCUCCGUCCUCGGGGCGACGGCUGCUUGGCUCUUCUGGACGCAUCACCUCAGCGACGGAGGAGAAACCAGGAGCCAGGUUUAAGCCGUCUGCCCAGGCCUGGGAGCUCCCAGCCGGUGGGGUGCGGGGCGGAGGGGACGAUAAGGCCGGCCGGGUCCCCCGGCUCCUCCCCAGCAGUUGGGACUAAAAGCCCCUCUCGUUGGUGCAUCUCAUUGUGUGCUGAUGGCCGCGGAUGUCGGGUAACCAUGGCAACUCAUUGAUUAGCAUCCAGCCCCUGUGAAACGAGGAACAUGCAGCCAUAAGAAUUACAAAUGAUGCUGUAUUGUCUGCUGCCAAUAGGCUGAUUACUGCCAUUUUCUGCCAGGUAGACCAGCUUUUACAGGCAACCCUGCGGUGUGUAAUUACCAUGCUGUGAUUGAUGCAUUGCUAUAGUUACUAUCUGCUGUGUUCCCUGACUAAUAGUUUUUAAAUUCCUCUUCAGAUGGAAAUGCAUUGCCUGUAAAUGUGAGAGGCAGAGGUCUACCGAGCCGGGAGAUUCAUCCUGCGAGAAGCCAGUUUGGGUGUGGAAAAGCGUCUCAUAAAGUAAAAUGCGGUGGUCAAGUGCAUGAGUCACUUGGAUCAAACCACCGCCGCUGCUGCGGGAUGAAUGGGGAUGUAAAGCCGUGGGCGGGAAGGGAGCGGGAAGCUGGGAUGGCGCAGGCACUUGCUGGGGUGUUUUUGCAGGCCUAAAACAUUUGCCACCUGUUGAUACCGCAUGGUUGUCCUGGAAAUAACCGGCUCCUACGCUGCGACCUGCAGCAGGACGCACAGGAGCACAGACGUGCGCAGAGCAGGACCUGGCGUCCUGCAACCCCAAAGCCUCCUGCGUGGGGGGAGCAGGGAUGUUUUGCCACCAGAGAGCUUGCAGCCGGCGGGGCGGGUGCUUGAGGGCAGAGUCUCAAACACCGCAGGGUGUUUCCUCGUUCGUAGUCCCGUCCCUGGGUCCCGCCGGCUGCACGGCCUGCAGCAGCUGGAGGGUCGACUCUGCCGUCGUGGUCCUCGCGGACGGCAAGUGCGAAGCCGUCCCGGCGGCGCCAAGCCAGCGCUGCGCUGGCUGCCGAUUAGUUGGUGACUGGUUUGGACCUCGGUGGCCCAAGCCCGUCCUGGAGAGGCAUCGGGCAGAGCCCGGCUCAGAGCCGGGGCGGUCGCAGACGGGCUCUGCCUCUCCCGGGGAGGGAGCGCCAGCCGCCCGGGCCGGUCUCCCCCGCGCGUCGCCGCUGGUGUUUAGACACCCGCGUAACCUAUACAAAGCUAAAAGUGGUUUGUUUCCUUUCAGACUGUUGAGUGCAGCCAGGGUAAUUUAGUAGAAAAAUGUCAUGCUAAUGCAAUUCAAAGUUCAAAUGAUCUUUCAUUUCGAGGGAAAGAAGGAUGCGUGUGCAGGCAGAAUGUUAAAACCCGGUACUUGCCCUGCAAUUCAAACAGAAAUAUGAGCUUCGGGGGAUACAUAAGUCACAUGAAGUACUGUGAGUGAAACGCACAAAAUGAAUAAAAAUGAUCCGGAAGCCGCUAUUAGCAUUGCUGGGGGGCAGAUCCAGCUCCGAACAAGUGUAGUGGCAGUCGGGAGCAGUGCUGGAAAGGAGAAUUUUGCAUGAAAUCACAAUAACAUGGAAAUAAUGAGAAGAAGUUAUCAGUAAGACAUUUUCUGUAUUAAUAUCUGAACGUUGCAGUCCCGGUGCUCUUGCUCCUCUCCGACCUGAUCCGAUCGCCCCAGCGUCCAGGCGAGGUCCGCUGGAGCGGGACCACGAUGCCGCUGCCGGGAGCGAGGGGUGCUGCCAGCUCCUGCGCGUGGGCAGCUCCGCCGGGGCUGUGGCAUGGCUUUGCCUUGCUCUUUCAAACGGGUGUUAGGGCCUUGAUUUCGGGGAAUCGCACCGGCUCGGCUGCUAGCUCAGGUCCGAGAGCCCCAGCCUGGGGAACAGCUUACUGCCAGCUGCUCGAGGAGAAAGCGAAAAUCCCUCUCAGCUGCUCGAGUGCUAUUUCGUGUAGUCCCGGCUCCUCAGCUAUUGUAAAUCAGAAGAGCUCCUUGAGCCUGGUGCUGUGAUUUACACCAGCUGAAGAUUUGGCUCUCCGAGGCUCAGUGCAGCAAGUCUCCCUCCUCCCGCUGAAGGCAACCGCCGCACAAACGCGUCGGGGAUCGUUUCCCUCGUGAUGCCGCUCAGGCUGCUCAGCUCCAGAUGCGAUGGGUGGUGCGAGUACCCCCCGUCCUCCCCGCAGCAGGUGCCCCAGGGGCAGGGAGCCGCGUAGGCGGCUGCGGGUGCCGGGAGCAGCCGUAACCCGGGCUGAAGGUGCAGCGUGGUCACAAGCGCGUGGGCUCUGCGCGGGCGGCUCUGCACCGAGCACAUCGCGCCGGCACGGACAGGCAGCGAGGAUGCUUGGGGUACCGGUAACCGCCUGCUGCUUCCCCUGCCUGCUGUGCUGCCUCUGGCAAGGCACCUCGUCCCUCCGCUCUUGCUUCCCGCUCGCUUUUUCCUCGCGCUGGAUCCCAGGGAGAAGGACUCAGCUUGGAAGCCACGUCUUUAGUGGUAGCUGUUAGCACAACGGUGCGAGAACGAUCUGCUGACAGCAGCUAAAGGAUGCUUAGGAUUUGAAGUCCCCGGGCCGGCGUUCUGCACAGCGGUGGCCAUCCCCUCGCAUUUGCAAAACCUGUCGAAGUCUUGGGGUGGAAGCUGCCAUUGCAGCUUGAAAGCAUUAUCCUCCUGAAGAGCACGGAAGGAAAAAAGCCUCGGUAUCUGCCAGGAUUCAUGAAGCAUAAUUGAAACGCAGACAGAACCGUUUCUGCAGGAAAAACGAGGGGUUCCAGCAGCCAGCAGGAAUUAGCAGCGGGCAGGCGUCCUCUGAAAGGGAGAAGAGCCCUGGCUUAGUGCAAAUCAGCAGUCUGCCCUCUCCCUGCCUCUUUUGAAGUGGAGGAAUGGAGAAGUUACGCGACACAGAGGGGGACUGUUUCUAAACAGAAUUGUUGAAGCAUCUCCAGGAGGCAACAGCAGCUCUUUUAAUCCAGAAGAGCCCAGCAGAGCCUCCGCUUCUGCCUGCGAUGCCGACAAAAGGAAGCUCCCGGAGGCCGGAGCCUCCCGUCUCCUCAGAAAAUUGCAGCAAAGUUCUCGGUCACUUGCAGAAAACUGAGUCUCAAAGUUUCCCUUGUCUCCCCCUUCCCCGCAGAGCCUCGUCCUCUGCGUUCCCAGCUCUCCCACCCGCCUCGGUCUCCCUCCGCAGUUGCCCUCCCAAGGGCCCCGUUUCACGGCAGCGAGGGAUUCAGCCCGCCGUUUCCCACAGGCUUGACGUUAGUUAAAAUAAUGCUCAGCAAAACCUCCUACCCGGCAAAGCGAGGAACUUCCAUCUGGCGCGAACGCAUUUAAGGCUUGCAUUUAAAAUGCACGUCGCUACCCAAGUCCCUAAGUAGAGUUGUAUCUCUGCCUAAUCUGUCUAAUCGUAACCGUGUACGACUGCGAGGCUUCUGAAACAGUUAACUGCAUGUGUCCAGAGGAAAGACAUUACCGAGGUAAUUGGGCUAUAAAAUGGUACGUACACGCGGAGGGAUUCUUUCCGACGAUACCCUGGUAAUCUGGGGAGCCAAGUUUGCUUCUCUGUGAUCCCGGGAUGUGUGUUGCUGCACUCAGUGUUCUCGGUGGUGCUGUACGUAUCUGGAAGGUAAUGUAAUUUUUUAACAAAAAAAUUUUUUUUAUUACAACUCCGCAUUCAGCAUAACUCUUCCCGAGUCCUCUGCAUGAUUGUUUGCAAGUAGCUGAUUGUUAGGAAGGAAAGGUAAUUGCGGAAAGAAAAUGAGAGACUCAAGAAAACUGUUUGGAAAGUUGAAGGGAGCCGUGGCGCGAGCAGCAACACGGCUGAUUGCCUGUGGCUGAUGAAAUCCAUUUGCAUCUUCCAAUCUUUCUCUGGCUGCGUCUGACAUUCGUCUGCCUCUCUCCUGGCGCGUGAAAUUCCUCCCCGUCGCUGGCGGGGACGGGCCGGACUCGAGGCCCUUUCCGGGGAAGGCCUGAUGCUGCCUUGAAAGGACCAGCGUGAACACUGCAACCUUUUUCUUCCUCUGUCCUUCAUCCAGAAGGACAUUAUUGCCGUAAAUCUACCAAUAUCACCAGGAUUUCUCAGCUUUUCGGACUCUGAGGUAUUCCUGCUCCUCGCACAGGGGGAUGCAGCAGAGCAUCGUCACCCGCCGCACCGGGAAGAACGACAUCCCGGGCACCUUGCUCGAGGUUACAGAUGGGUUCGCGGCAGGGGCAGGGAGCUAAAUCUGUAUUUCCCGAGUUGCAGGCAGUUUCCCCAGGCACAGAACUGUGUUUGCUUUCUCUCUUUGCCCUUAAAUAUCUUUGGCUUGGAGUGGGUAAAUAACCCCAGCAAAGCGUGCCUUUUUGGAGAGGAGGAUGAUUUAUGCCGUGGGUGGCGGGGUUCUCCCUGCAAUUUUUUGAAGAGCCAAUUACAAAAUGGAUCUUUUGCCUCCGUGAACUGCCUGCUAGAAAAUGCCCUUGCUGUUAUUCCGGGCGUACGGCUCGCUCGCUGCGCCGUCCUUUCCGAAGGAGAUAAAAGCCUCUGCUCAGCUUCGAGGGCCUUCCUCCUCCAGGGAGAUGGAGGGGCCGAGAACAAGGCCCUGCUCGGGGGCGAGUUCAGGGGGAGGACGAACAAAUCCGGGCAACCUCCCGUUUGCCGGGAGCGGACGAGCCCCCGGCGGGGACCAGGAUCGCUGCAAAUGGGCUCCAAGCCGCAGGAGUGGCCGCUACAGGGCGGCUGGGCCGUGCCAGGGCAGCGGUCCGUGGUGCAGGGUUGCAUCCCCGGCCGCGGCACCCCGGGCCCGGCCCCUCGGCUCCCCCGUGCUCGUAGCGCGAGCAGAGCACCGUCGCGGGGGCAGAUAUCCCUUCCCAUCCCGGACCGUUUUUAUGGCCUGAACCAUGAAAAUCAAUGCUGUAGUGAUUUUUAAUCCGGUGUGUUUGGUGUGUCUGUGUACACGCAUGUGUAUCUCCGCAGAUGGGAGCUGCGUUCCCGGUCGGUGCAAAGCCGCAUCACACCACGGAAAUGAAUGGAGCUGGCAGCUUCUGCCGGCAGACGAUCGCUCCCUGCUUUAGUCGCUUGCUCUAACGCGACUGCUGUGCAGCUCCUGCCCCUCGUGCCGCUGGCUCUCCCCCUUCGUCCGGCUUAUUGCGGCGGAGCUGUCUGUGUAAGGGGGUCGUAAGUAAUAUUAACCGAGCUAAGAAAGGAUGGUGCUCACUUGCUAUUCCAGAUAUUACUGUUUUUCUCUUCUCAUCAUCGCAGAGCUUGUUAUUAUUGUAUCACAGGUUUUAAGUGUAACGUGGUCUUCUGUUUUUGAUCUCUCUCCCUCUCAAAAAAAAGGGAGCAGAGAGAGGGGAUGAGGGAAUUUGCUGCACCCGCGUGACGCCGGGAGCCGCGGCUCCGAGGGCGAGCGCAGCUCCUGCCGCGUCCCGCAGCUUCGAGGUCGUCUUCUGCAGAGCCGAGGAGAUGCAGCCGAGGUCGGUGAGGGCUUGCCGGGCCUCAGCUCGGCUCAGCUGGGAACCUCCGCGGCCGAGCGGUGUGCGGGGAGCUGCGUCUCGCAGGACGCUGCAGCGCGGGGCUGGCGCCGGACGGUCCUCGCUUCUUGCUGCCCCGUGCCAGGCACCGGCCUGGGGAAGAGGUGCUGCUGUGCAGGACCAGCCGGGCCCGCCUGGGCCGCGGCGUUCGGUCGCGGGUAAUUACGGGUACGUGCGGGGUAGCGGGACCCCGCGACCGGGGCUGACGGCGGAGGCGGAUUUACAGUCUGCUCGGCGGCGGCCGUCGCGAGGGACGCUCGUCGGGGCGAGACGCCCGCCUUCGCUGCAUAACACAAGCUGUUGAGCAGCGGCUGACUUACGCCCAGCCGCGCUGCCUGCGCCGUUAGAGCCCCCGGAGGAUUAAUUACGGCGAUAUAUACCCCUCCACGCAGGCGUCUCGAGAGCGGCGCGUCCGUAAAUCAAGCGCGUGCUUAUUGCGGGCAGCUUCCUCCAAAGCGCUGCGGCUCUUCGCCGAUGGAAAGCGAAGGGAAAGCACCAGGAGCCGGGGGCGGAUUUCCCUUCCCAGGGCGACGGCCCCGACCGACGGCCCCCAACCGUCCUUCUCGCUCUCGCUCUGCGGGAGAGCAAGGUCCGAGCAUCUCGGUGUGCGUUGGGCAUCCCGGUGCCCCGUCCGCCUCCUCCGCCGCUGCCCUGCUGCAAAAUGAUGGAUAAACGGAUGGAAAAAAUGCUCGAAAUGAUAGAUAAAUGGAUGGAAAAAAAUGCUGAUUUACUCCUUCCUGUGCUCAAGCUCAUUGAAAAGCAGAGAAACGUAACAGCUUGCAUCGCUCCCAGGGUAACGGCUCCUAAAGCGCUUUGCAGGCAGCGUGCUGGACUCUGCUCGUGUUGUGACACUGUAAAUCCCGACUGGCUCCGUGGACCGGGCGAGUGGAUCCCCGGCUGCGGUGACGUGGCCUGGCCCUUCCUGCCGAAAUCCCGGGCUUUGCGAAGCUGGCUCAGUACGGGUGACCUUUCAUUAAAGGCGGUUACCUAUUGAAGAGAUGACUGCUUAAAAAAGCUAUCUUCCUCCAAGGUUUUGUUUCAUUUUGACUUCUUUGGCCAAAGAGGAAAAAGUCUGAAAAAUACUUGGAAAGAGAUGAGAAUUUCCGCAGCAGAACGACCGCAGGUGCAGGACGAAGCUUUGGCGGGGAGGAGGCAGGUGGGUGCCGGGCAGGACUGCAGCUUCGGGGGGUCCCCGGCGGUGCCUCGGGGGCCCCAGCCGUACCCGCCGCUCGGGAUGCGCACACGUGUCUUUGCAGAGGGAGGUGUGAUCUGCGCCAGCGCGAUGCCGUCCUGCCCUCUCCCGCCGUCCUCCGCAGCGGGACCUCGCUCCUACCCGGUGCCUCUCAUCCGCAGGGGACGUUCCCGGGCAGCACUCGCGAGCGGCCGUAUUAUGAAUUCCUCCUGUCAGGUGAUAACUUCUUAUGAGGUUCUUAUUCUUUGGACAAUAUAUUAAAAGCGUAUUUUCUGCCA